rnacentral:rRNA from 1 species
UUAAAUGAAUUGACGGGGCCCGCACAAGCAGCGGAGCGUGUGGUUUAAUUCGAUGAUACACGAAGAACCUUACCCAGGCUUGACAUGCAGGUAUCGGGUUUACGAAAGUAGGCCCACCCUCGGAGGCCUGCACAGGUGCUGCAUGGCUGUCGUCAGCUCGUGUCGUGAGAUGUCCGGUUAAGUCCGGUAACGAGCGCAACCCUUGCCAUUAGUUGCUACGAAAGGGCACUCUAAUGGGACUGCCGGUGACAAACCGGAGGAAGGUGGGGAUGACGUCAAGUCCUCAUGGCCCUUAUAGGUGGGGCCACACACGUCAUACAAUGGCCGGUACAGAGGGUAGCCAACCCGCGAGGGGGAGCCAAUCCCACAAAGCCGGUCGUAGUCCGGAUCGCAGUCUGCAACUCGACUGCGUGAAGUCGGAAUCGCUAGUAAUCGCGGAUCAGCAUGUCGCGGUGAAUACGUUCCCGGGUCUU